rnacentral:misc_RNA from 1 species
GAACGCACCUUGCGCCCUUUGGCUAUUCCGAAGGGCAUGCCUGUUUGAGUAUCAUGAACACCUCAACUCUCAUGGUUUGCCAUGAUGAGCUUGGACUUUGGGGGUCUUGCUGGCCUAUGGUCGGCUCCUCUCAAAUGAAUCAGCUUACCAGUGUUUGGUGGCGUCACAGGUGUGAUAACUAUCUACGCUUGUGGUUUUCCACCAGAUAACCUUCAGCGAUGGAGGUUCACUGGAGCUCAUAAAUGUCUCUCCUCAGCGAAGACAGCUCUUUGAACGUUUGAUCUCAAAUCAGGUAGGACUACCCGCUGAACUUAAG